rnacentral:rRNA from 1 species
CCUACGGGGGGCAGCAGUGAGGAAUAUUGGUCAAUGGGCUUACGCCUGAACCAGCCAAGUCGCGUGAGGGAAGACUGCCCUAUGGGUUGUAAACCUCUUUUGUCAGGGAGCAACGCCGGCUACGUGUAGCCGGACUGAGAGUACCUGAAGAAAAAGCAUCGGCUAACUCCGUGCCAGCAGCCGCGGUAAUACGGAGGAUGCGAGCGUUAUCCGGAUUUAUGGGGUUUAAAGGGUGCGUAGGCGGAAUGCCAAGUCAGCGGUAAAAUCGCGGGGCUCAACCUCGCUCCGCCGUUGAAACUGGCGUUCUUGAGUGGGCGAGAAGUAUGCGGAAUGCGUGGUGUAGCGGUGAAAUGCAUAGAUAUCACGCAGAACUCCGAUUGCGAAGGCAGCAUACCGGCGCCCAACUGACGCUGAAGCACGAAGGCGUGGGUAUCGAACAGGAUUAGAUACCCCAGUAGUC